AAAAAAACCGAAAAUCUGAAAAACCGAAUUAUAUUUAAUAAAUAUAUUAAAAUAUUAUAUAUAUACUAUUUAAUAGUAAUAAAAUCUCUAACCAUAAUGAAUUCCGCCUCCAUUCUCUAUCUGACGCUCUCCUCCUUCAUUCUCCACCCUCUCCGCCUCCAUUCUCAAUCUAACCCUAAAUCUCCCAAAAUCUAAGCCUCCAACCCGUCGCCUCCAGCCGUGCUCCAGACAUCCACACCGCCUCUGCCCUCCACCCUCCAGCAGUGUAGCAUGUCGCCUUCAGCCGUGCUCCAACCAUCCACGCCUCCAGAAGAAGUUCAUUCAAACUUGUGAGGAAAACCAUGGGCAGAAAAUAUGACCAAGUUCAUCCCUUAAUAUUUGGAAUUUUGAGCAAGAUUGCAAGAAGAAGUCACGAAGGCUUGGACUAGAUUAUAAUUCGUUGUAUAUUUAUUAGUUAUUAGAUAUCAUCAAACUCUAUCUUUUUUUGUUUUUGCCUAAAUAUUUGUAUUUGUUAGUUGAUGUAUGUUAAUUA